UACGUAGGGGGCAAGCGUUGUCCGGAUUUAUUGGGCGUAAAGAGCGUGUAGGCGGCUGGGUAGGUCCGCUGUGAAAACUCGAGGCUUAACCUCGAGACGUCGGUGGAAACCAUCCAGCUAGAGUCCGGAAGAGGAGAGUGGAAUUCCUGGUGUAGCGGUGAAAUUCGUAGAUAUUCGCAAGAACACCAGUGGCGAAGGCGGCUCACUGGCCCGGUACUGACGCUGAGGUGCGAAAGCGUGGGGAGCAAACAGG
rnacentral:rRNA from 1 species